CGGACGCUUGGUAUGCUUAGAAAAACCGGGAGCCUGGGGCCCCUUUCCUGACCCAGUCCCACCUCCUGAAGACGCCCGUACGGCUUUCUCUUUCACCUGAACGAAUGGGCACUUUCUCCCUGUACCUUGAGUCGGAUUCAUGCGCACUUUGAUUUAUUUGACAAACCAUUUGAACGCUUACUCUGGUGCCAAGCGCCGGUUUAGUCCUUUAUUAUUCACCGAGUUUUUCUUUGGGUGAAUUUGGUUUUCCGGAAAGCCUCUUGAGACAUCUCAAGUUGUAUAAGCAAGGAUGUCCAUAAAGGGCCUCUCUCUGCAAAUACUUGCUUGCGCGUAGUAACUGAUAAACGUUUCAGGACACGGUCAAUAGACUGCCUCCAAACGCAAACUCACGGGCUUUGCAGCUUUAUCGUAUUUGCCUCAAAGGUCUCCUUCCCACUCUCUGCCUGUCCCCCAAUCCUUCCUCUGGGUCUCUGGGUCUUCUCCAGACCAGAAACCUCAGGCGGCUCAAAGAGGCAAAAUGCUAGGGCUGUGAGCAGGAGACCGCCAGUGGUUGGGACUGGAACCCCUGACGCAAUAGGUAGCUCAAAUGACCAUCAAAACAAGACCUGUCGCAUCAAAGAGCGUGGACGUCUCUCCAGCUCCUGGGCUCUCCUCAGCCUUCUCUGGAGACACCCAAGAUGCCUGAAAACUGGCUCCCACUCAGCUUGCCAGCCUCGUCUCCCACCCUGGAGCAGGAAGAUAUUUCUCAUUCCCAGACGCUCCAUGGCUUUCUAUCUGACUGAUCUUCCUAAAUUUUCCACGUGGAAAAUUACACUUCUUUUUCCAGACAUCCCAGAUGUUAUCUCUUCCACGUAAGCUUGUCUGGAGUUCCCUUCCUCCAGCCCCAACCCCUGCCGAGGUGCUUCUCAGGAUGCAGUGGCAAAGAACACCAGACCCUGCCUUCCGGGGCUUGAGCCCAGCUGGGCCAGAGACGAUCCAUUUCUGGCUUGGCGUGAAUCCUCACGUGAGCCAGACUAUCCCUGCUGAGAAAAAGAAGUGCGAGCUCAAGGUAUUUCCACCCCAGCUCAGCGUACAAGGCGCCACCUUGGCCAAGCCUGGAUUCAAGCUCCACGCCCACGGAGGGCAUUACCCAAGUGCUUACACCCCAUCUCAAACCAGGCCCUUUCAGCCUCCACCCCUGAAGCCAGGGUAACGCCUUGUUCUGAUAACAGAGCUGCUGCUUGGCUUCUGGCCCCAAAUUCCUAUUUUGGUAUCUUCCUAAAUCCCCAGGCACCCGUGGGGGCUCUGCUCCAAUGAGUGCAAGCUCGUGGCUGGGCUCCAGACACAUGCCUUAGCCCUCGCAAUGCUCUCCCGACUCACCUUCUUGAGGGACAGAGAAAUGUAAGGCUUGAACUCACAGUAGUCGGGUGACCAGGAUUUGAAUCCUGGCCCCACCGUUCAUUAGUAACCGUGGGCAAGUUACUUAACUUCACUAAGCCUCUAUUUCUCCAUCUGUAAAAUGGGGCUUGGAUGGGGGAAAAUUGAUGUAAAUCACUUUGCAUAGUCACCGGCAUGUAAGUAAAUAUUCAAUAAAUGUGAGCUCAUUUUUCCA
rnacentral:lncRNA from 1 species